rnacentral:rRNA from 1 species
CGCCUGUUUAUCAAAAACAUGUCUUCUUGAUUUUAUUUGAAGUCUGGCCUGCUCAAUGAUUAAUUAAAUAGCCGCGGUAAUUUAACUGUGCAAAGGUAGCAUAAUAAUUAGUCUUUUAAUUGAGGUCUAGAAUGAAUGGUUGGACGAAAAAAAUGCUUUAUUUGAUUUAUUUAUUUAAUUUAACUUCAUUGUUAAAAUGCAAUGAUUUUUUAAAGUGACGAUAAGACCCUAUAGAUCUUUAUUUUUUUUAUAUUUUUUUUUUUUUUGUUGAUUUUAUAUAAUUUUAGUUUAAAAAAUUUUGUUGGGGUGAUAAUUAAAAAUUUUAUCUUUAAUUUUUUUUUACAUUUAUUUAUGUUUAGUUUGAACCUUAAUUUUUGUUUAAAAGAAUAAGAUACCUUAGGGAUAACAGCGUAAUUUAUUUGGAUAGUUCAUAUUGAUAAAUAUAUUUGCGACCUCGAUGUUGGAUUAAUAUUUUUUUGUGGGGAAGGUUUCUCAAUAAUAGGUCUGUUCGACUUUAAAAUUUUACAUGAUCUGAGUUCAGACCGG